GUAGAUGCGUUGUUGUGGGAAAUGUACUUCCGGGUUAUCGGGGUAUGGAUCGCAUUUUAAUGCAAACAAUUAUUAGAUACAGAUACCUGAUUACCAGACGCUUUCGCUUAAUUUAAACACAACAAACAUGGGGAAGAAGCAUAAAAAGCACAAGCCGGAGUGGAGAACAGUUGAUGACUGUGAGGACAAGCCUUUUGAGAAGCAGCUGAAGCUGGUGCUCAAAGUGGGAGGAAGUGAGAUCACAGAACUCUCAGGCUCCGGCCAUGACUCCAGUUACUACGACGACAGGUCAGACCAUGAACGAGAGCGCCACAAGGACAAAAAGAAGAAGAAGAAGAAAAAGUCUGAGAAGGAGAAAGACAAACACGUAGAUGAUGAGGAGAGGAGAAGACGGAAGGAAGAGAAGAGGAAGAAGAGAGAGCGGGAGCAGAAUGAAUCAGAGGCUGCUACUGCCUCUGCCAGUGGUGUGGGCCUGCCCACUGUUGUGCCCAGUCACACUGGUGUGGCAGUCGAGCCUUUCAUGCUGCCAAAGAUACCAAACAUUGGUAUUAGUUUUGAGCAGCAGGAGGAGAAGAAGAGGAAGAGGGAGAGGUCUGAGAUGGAGCCGGAGGUGAUGGACCAGUUUCACCCCAACAUCAAGGUAGAGGUGGAGCAACAAGGAGACCGGCCUGUCAGGGCUUGCAGGACAGCCCCGGAGAGUGAGUGCACCCCUCGACAGCAGCUCCUGGAACACUUCCUGCGCCAGCUUCAGAGGAAGGAUGCCCAUGGGUUCUUCACUUUCCCAGUGACAGACGCCAUCGCUCCAGGUUACUCUGUGAUAAUCAAACACCCCAUGGAUUUCAGCACCAUGAACGACAAGAUCACAGACAACGAGUACAAAACCGUCACAGAGUUCAAGGCGGACUUCAAGCUGAUGUGCGAUAAUGCCAUGGUGUAUAACCGUCCAGAGACCGUUUACUACAAGGCUGCCAAGAAACUGCUGCACACUGGCUUCAAGAUGAUGAGCAAAGAGCGGCUGUUAGCACUGAAGCGCAGCAUGUCUUUCAUGCAGGACAUGGAUUUCUCUCAGCAGGCGGCCAUUUUAGGGGACGAGGACUUGGUGUCUGAGGAGCCCCCUCCGGAGGUCAUCUCCAUGCCCGUGGAGUCGGCAUCGGCCAAGAAAUCCAAGAAACCCAAAGACAUCAAAGAUAUGAAGGAAGUCAUCAGCAGUUACCUGUAUGAGCCAGAGGGGAACGCCUGCAGCCUGACUGACAGCACAGCGGAGGAACACGUUCUGGCCCUGGUGGAGCACGCUGCAGAUGAAGCACACGACCGCAUCAACCGAUACAUGCCCAACUCCAAGAUGGGUUACCUGAGGAAAGAGCCUGAUGGUAAUCUGUUGUACACUGUAGUGAAUCAGCUGAAUCCAGAAGCAAAAGAGGAGGAGACCCACCCUGUGGACCUGAGCUCUCUGUCCAAUAAGCUCCUUCCUGGAUUAACAACACUGGGUUUCAAAGAUGACAGGAGACACAAGGUGACGUUCCUGAGCAGUACCUACAACACCCAGACCCUGCAGAACAACUCCAUCUACCCGGACCUGCUGCCUGAUGAGAUGGACCUGCUCUACUCAGCCUACGGGGAUGAGACUGGGGUGCAGUGUGCUCUCAGUAUUCAGGAGUUUGUUAAAGGUUGUGGGAACGUUACUAAGCGUUUGGUUGACGGGCUGCUGGAUAAGAUGACUGCAGGGGACCACUCUAAGGCUGUCUACCAGAUCAGACAGAAAAGAAACAUGGCGUUACCAGACGAAACCAAGAGCAACAUUUACGAUAUGCAGAUGGCUGAUGGGACAGGUCUGGGAGAGGGCAGCUCAGUGCUGGACUUCAUGUCCAUGAAGAGCUACUCUGACAUGUCUCUGGAGAUGUCCAUGCUCAACUCUUUAGGGAAGUCGGUGAAGAAGGAGCCGGGGCAUGAAGACGGGGUCAGUCAGCAGCACUUUGAGGAGGCAGCCAAGCUGCUGCAGGAGUUCCAGGAGGGCCAGGUGGAGAGGGGAGGCUCCAGACCCUCCUCUAACCUCUCCUCCCUGUCAGGGACCUCCGACAGGGACCAGCACCACCUGGGGAGUCCCUCACACCUGGGUGUUGGUGACCAGUCUGAGAUGGUUCAUGACCCCUAUGAGUUCCUCCAGUCUCCAGAGCCAGGCUCCACAUCCAACAGCUGACCUAUGAGUUCCUCCAGUCCCCAGAGCCAGGCUCCACAUCCAACAGCUGACCUAUGAGUUCCUCCAGUCUCCAGAGCCUGGCUCCACAUCCAACAGCUGACCUAUGAGUUCCUCCAGUCCCCAGAGCCAGGCUCCACAUCCAACAGCUGACCUAUGAGUUCCUCCAGUCUCCAGAGCCAGGCUCCACAUCCAACAGCUGACCUAUGAGUUCCUCCAGUCCCCAGAGCCAGGCUCCACAUCCAACAGCUGACCUAUGAGUUCCUCCAGUCCCCAGAGCCAGGCUCCACAUCCAACAGCUGACCUAUGAGUUCCUCCACUCUCCAGAGCCAGGCUCCACAUCCAACAGCUGACCUAUGAGUUCCUCCAGUCUCCAGAGCCAGGCUCCACAUCCAACAGCUGACCUAUGAGUUCCUCCAGUCUCCAGAGCCAGGCUCCACAUCCAACAGCUGACCUAUGAGUUCCUCCAGUCUCCAGAGCCAGGCUCCACAUCCAACAGCUGACCUAUGAGUUCCUCCAGUCUCCAGAGCCAGGCUCCACAUCCAACAGCUGACCUAUGAGUUCCUCCAGUCUCCAGAGCCAGGCUCCACAUCCAACAGCUGACCUAUGAGUUCCUCCAGUCUCCAGAGCCAGGCUCCACAUCCAACAGCUGACCUAUGAGUUCCUCCAGUCUCCAGAGCCAGGCUCCACAUCCAACAGCUGACCUAUGAGUUCCUCCAGUCUCCAGAGCCAGGCUCCACAUCCAACAGCUGACCUAUGAGUUCCUCCAGUCUCCAGAGCCAGGCUCCACAUCCAACAGCUGACCUAUGAGUUCCUCCAGUCUCCAGACCCAGGCUCCACAUCCAACAGCUGACCUAUGAGUUCCUCCAGUCUCCAGAGCCAGGCUCCACAUCCAACAGCUGACCUAUGAGUUCCUCCAGUCUCCAAAGCCAGGCUCCACAUCCAACAGCUGACCUAUGAGUUCCUCCAGUCUCCAGAGCCAGGCUCCACAUCCAACAGCUGACCUAUGAGUUCCUCCAGUCUCCAGAGCCAGGCUCCACAUCCAACAGCUGACCUAUGAGUUCCUCCAGUCUCCAGAGCCAGGCUCCACAUCCAACAGCUGACCUAUGAGUUCCUCCAGUCUCCAGAGCCAGGCUCCACAUCCAACAGCUGACCUAUGAGUUCCUCCAGUCCCCAGAGCCAGGCUCCACAUCCAACAGCUGACCUAUGAGUUCCUCCAGUCCCCAGAGCCAGGCUCCACAUUCAACAGCUAACCCACACACUGACAAGUUGCCUCUAACUGGGGUAGCUCUGGUCACAAUACCAGUAUCACUAUACUAUGAUACUCAACUUUCCAAGGCAAAAAAGGAAACAAAAGUGUUUUAACUCUUUAAAAACAUGCUUUAUCUAAAAUAUUGUUUUCUGUAGCUUGAAAAACAAACAAAUGUGUCUCUGGUGUAUCCAACAUUAAGACUUCUGAGUAUUGCGAUACUGUUAUUGAGAAACUACUAGGGAGAUGGUAGAAGAUGCCUCUAACUACUGGUCUGGGGUCAGACAUUGUUUGAUGGGUAAUCUGAUCCUAGAUCUGUGGUUCAGAGGAAACUUCUACUCAGAGCUGAUCUGACGUCCGGUAUUUAACCACACUGGUUGUUUUGUUGUCUGACUCUGUGCUCUCAACACACCGGGGACAACGAGAGAGAACCUCAGACAUGUUGUGGAAGGUCAUCAUGAUUGUACAGAUUAUUUGUAUGUGUGCUAUACUUAAGAGAAUAAAGUCGCCACAGGUUGUGUUUUUACACAGUACUGUGUCAUCAGGUUGUGUUUUUACACAGUACUGUGUCAUCAGGUUGUGUUUUUACACAGUACUGUGUCAUCAGGUUGUGUUUUUACACAGUAGUGUCAUCAGGUUGUGUUUUUACACAGUACUGUGUCAUCAGGUUGUGUUUUUACACAGUACUGUGUCAUCAGGUUGUGUUUUUACACAGUACUGUGUCAUCAGGUUGUGUUUUUACACAGUACUGUGUCAUCAGGUUGUGUUUUUACACAGUACUGUGUCAUCAGGUUGUGUUUUUACACAGUACUGUGUCAUCAGGUUGUGUUUUUACACAGUACUGUGUCAUCAGGUUGUGUUUUUACACAGUACUGUGUCAUCAGGUUGUGUUUUUACACAGUACUGUGUCAUCAGGUUGUGUUUUUACACAGUA